GAGUUUGAUCCUGGCUCAGAUUGAACGCUGGCGGAAUGCUUUACACAUGCAAGUCGAGCGGCAGCGCGGGGCAACCUGGCGGCGAGCGGCGAACGGGUGAGUAAUGCAUCGGAACGUGUCCAUGUCGUGGGGGAUAGCCCGGCGAAAGCCGGAUUAAUACCGCAUACGCCCGAGAGGGGAAAGUGGGGGACCGCAAGGCCUCACGCGAUUGGGUCGGCCGAUGUCCGAUUAGCUAGUUGGCGGGGUAAAGGCCCACCAAGGCGAUGAUCGGUAGCUGGUCUGAGAGGAUGAUCAGCCACACUGGGACUGAGACACGGCCCAGACUCCUACGGGAGGCAGCAGUGGGGAAUUUUGGACAAUGGGGGCAACCCUGAUCCAGCCAUGCCGCGUGAGUGAAGAAGGCCUCGGUUGUAAG
rnacentral:rRNA from 1 species